CCUACGGGAGGCAGCAGUGAGGAAUAUUGGUCAAUGGACGAGAGUCUGAACCAGCCAAGUAGCGUGAAGGAUGACUGCCCUAUGGGUUGUAAACUUCUUUUAUAUGGGAAUAAAACGUUCCACGUGUGGGAUUUUGUAUGUACCAUAUGAAUAAGGAUCAGCUAACUCCGUGCCAGCAGCCGCGGUAAUACGGAGGAUCCGAGCGUUAUCCGGAUUUAUUGGGUUUAAAGGGAGCGUAGGUGGAUUGUUAAGUCAGUUGUGAAAGUUUGCGGCUCAACCGUAAAAUUGCAGUUGAAACUGGCAGUCUUGAGUACAGUAGAGGUGGGCGGAAUUCGUGGUGUAGCGGUGAAAUGCUUAGAUAUCACGAAGAACUCCGAUUGCGAAGGCAGUUCACUGGACUGCAACUGACACUGAGGCUCGAAAGUGUGGGUAUCAAACAGGAUUAGAUACCCCUGUAGUC
rnacentral:rRNA from 1 species